GUAUUUUCAAAUUUGUCUAUGCGCGCUGUUCUUGAGUCGCUGCAGUGAACCACGCACUCAAAGGAAGGAGGCUAACGGCGCACUUCGAUAACUAAGAUUGGUCUACAAGUAACUGGCGACGUUGUACGCUAAGUUUCAUCUCCGUACGCCAUUCGUGGGCUGAGCCAUUUGAUCAAUACCCUAAGCUCAAUACGCGCCAUCUUGGUGAAACGCCGUUUACACCGAAGGAAAACGCAUGAAAACCUCGUUCGAAGUUGUUUAUCACCAGAAGAACGAUUCGUUGACAGCAGAAUUCGAAUCAAGCUGUUUGUGGGAGGGCCGUUCACCAGAAUCGAUCGUGUUCGGCAAGAAACGUUGUGUGAACCUGAUUUCGAGAAUCGAAAACAACAUAAAGCUUUAGUGAAAUGAAUCUCAUGGCGUUUGAAGUCAGAAAUAGGAGUGAAACAGCUCGGCUGUGGCAGCGAGAUUGUUGAUCACGUGAUCUGACACAGAAUGGUCAGGUCUGUUGUAACAACUUCCAAUCCAAUAGUGAUUUAUCUAGAGGUUAGUUUAUGAGAUGCGUAACUCUGCAGUGAACGAAAAUCUUCGACCUCGUUGUGUGAUAUUGUAAUGCGUUGCAAUCU